UUGAAGCAGGUACGCCAGUAUUUGUGGAGUCGCUGUUGAAAUACGGCCCUUUGAUUAUUUGAGUUCUAACUCGUAGUUGCGAGGACACUGUUUGGUGGGUAGUUUGACUGGGGUGGUCGCCUCCAAAAUAGUAACGGAGGCUUCUAAAGGUGCCCUCAGGACGAUUGGUAACCGUCCGUAGAGUGUAAUGGCAUAAGGGCGCUUGACUGGGAGACUAACAAGUCGAUCAGGUAGGAAACUAGAGCAUAGUGAUCCGGUGUUUCCGUAUGGAAGGGACAUCGCUCAAAGGAUAAA
rnacentral:rRNA from 1 species